UCUCCGUUGGUGAACCAGCGGAGGGAUCAUUACAGAGGUGCAAAUCUUCCCCACCUUUGUGAACGUUACCUACCCCGUCGACCCGGCGGGUGGCACGGGCUACUCCCCUGUCGGCCCUCCGCCCCCCGUGGGGGCCCCCCGGAGGGAACCCAAACCCGUGAACUCCAUGGCCGCUAUGAGUCUACUGUUCUGAAUAAGUCAAAAGUUUAAACAACGCACCUCUUGGUUCUUGCAUCGAGCAAGAACGCAGCAGAUCGGAAGAGCUAACGGCAGAACUCC
rnacentral:misc_RNA from 1 species